rnacentral:rRNA from 1 species
CAGUAGCCGCGGGAAUACGGAGGGUGCAAGCGUUACUCGGAAUUACUGGGCGUAAAGCGUGCGUAGGUGGUGGUUUAAGUCCGUUGUGAAAGCCCUGGGCUCAACCUGGGAAUUGCAGUGGAUACUGGGUCACUAGAGUGUGGUAGAGGAUAGUGGAAUUUCCGGUGUAGCAGUGAAAUGCGUAGAGAUCGGAAGGAACAUCUGUGGCGAAGGCGACUAUCUGGGCCAACACUGACACUGAGGCACGAAAGCGUGGGGAGCAAACAGGAUUAGAGACCCCGGUAGUCCCUGUCUCUUAUAA